rnacentral:rRNA from 1 species
ACUCCUACGGGUGGCUGCAGCAGGGAAUCUUGCGCAAUGGGCGAAAGCCUGACGCAGCGACACCGCGUGGAGGAAGAAGGCUUUCGGGUCGUAAACUCCUUUUCUCGGGGAAGAGAACGGACGGUACCCGAGGAAUAAGCAUCGGCUAACUACGUGCCAGCAGCCGCGGUAAUACGUAGGAUGCGAGCGUUGUCCGGAUUUACUGGGCGUAAAGGGCGAGUAGGCGGCCCGCUAAGUCUCAUGUGAAAUCUCCCGGCUCAACUGGGAGGGGUCAUGAGAAACUGGCAGGCUUGAGGUCAGCAGAGGAAAGCGGAAUUCCCGGAGUAGCGGUGAUAUGCGUAGAUACCGGGAGGAACACCAGAGGCGAAGGCGGCUUUCUGGGCUGUAACUGACGCUGAGGCGCGAAAGCGUGGGUAGCAAACCGGAUUAGAUACCCGGGUAGUCCACGCCCUAAACGAUGGAUACUAGGCAUGGGGGGUAUCGACCCCCUCCGUGCCGCAGCUAACGCAAUAAGUAUCCCGCCUGAGGAGUACGGCCGCAAGGCUAAAACUCAAAGGAAUUGACGGGGGCCCGCACAAGCAGCGGAGCGUGUGGUUUAAUUCGAUGGUAAGCGAAGAACCUUACCUGGGCUUGACAUGCAGGUGGUACCAAACCGAAAGGUGAGGGACCCGCAAGGGAGCUUGCACAGGUGCUGCAUGGCUGUCGUCAGCUCGUGUCGUGAGAU